AUGCAGAGGUGAGAAAAGGGCCAUGGACGAUGGAAGAAGAUAUGAUUCUCAUCAAUUAUAUCGCCAAUCAUGGUGAAGGUGUUUGGAACUCUCUCGCCAAAUCUGCAGGUCAAAUUCUUUUUUAUAUAUAUAUAUAUAUAUAUAUCAAGAUCUCCAAUAUAAGUUAUGCAUAAUAUAUGUGUGUGUUGAUGAACUAGGGUUUGAUCUUCACCUUCGAGGAUAUUAUAAACAUUUUAAUCACUAUAUGAUGAUUUCAGUUUUUUUUUUUUUUUUAAACCUUUUAUGGGUUGGAUAAAAACUAUACUUGAGCUUUUUGUUACUCAAUCGAUCUAAAUAUGAUUAUAUGAAUUAGGAAAUUUUCUUUUCAUAUGAAAACAAGAAAAUGGAAGCAAGACUAUCCCCAAGAUCUUAACACAUAUAUAAGGGAAAUCAGUAAAGAAAUUUUUUUUCUUAUGCCCGGAUCUUAAUUGAAUGUUUGCUAAAAGCGGUCUUGACUGAAAAACAUAAAUCAUCGUUUAUAAAUCUCUAUUGUAUGUAUAUCUAACUGGAUUAGAAAUUAACUACAUAUAAUUGGAACUUUUUCUUCAAACAGAUCGCUUACAAAAGGUCUUGUUUCAAACUUUAUAUACACACAAGCAAUUAGUAAUAUACUACCGCAAUAGCUAGGGUUUUAAAAAGUUGACCUUUCUUCUUACACUCCUGAUGUAAGAUAAACAAACUUAUCUGGUGAAAUAAUCUCUGGUUAGAAUUGUCACCGAAAUCCACUAAAAAUUGAUUAGGGUUUAAAAAAGAAGAAUAAUUCUAAAAGUUAUUUUAAACUAAUAGCUAAAAACACUAAUAGAAAAUGAAAAAUAUAUAUUUAAUUUCUUCUUUCUUUCACAAAUAAAUAAUACAUAUAUAUACAUGCAUGGACAUAAAUAAUUUUGUUUUGGCUAUGGACAUGCACACGAUUGAUAUUUUGUUUCUUCGUAAUUGAUUGUAAUAUAGGACUAAAACGCACCGGAAAAAGUUGCCGGCUCCGGUGGCUGAACUACCUCCGACCUGAUGUGCGACGGGGAAAUAUCACAGCAGAAGAACAGCUCAUCAUCAUGGAACUUCAUGCAAAAUGGGGAAAUAGGUUAGUGGUUACCUAAAUACAUUAAAUUCUAAGAUAAUCAGGUUAUGUGUAACGAGAGAAGCAAAGCUAAGUUUUCGAACAUUGGAUCCGUUUUAUAUAUAUUCUUGAGGCUAAAGACUGAAAUGAUCUUUAAAGAGACAUCAAAGCAAGACAUUAGGUAACGAAGCCAAACAUAUUGGUGGGUAUAACAAAACUUUCCAAUUCUUUUCAGCCAUUUGUUUGAGUUUUACACACGUUUCGAAAUUUCCUCACCACUAACAUUAAACCUCGUGCCGAUUCUCCCACAAACUUGUGCAUGGUUGUUAUUCUUUUACACGACCAUAUACAAAGACAUAUACCAAAAUACGCAUAAAAGUGAUGGAUAUACCGAAAGUUAGAUAUUCCAUAUGGUGGUGUAACUGAAAUUUUGAUUGAAGUUGAAUAUUAUUUAUUUUUUCAAAAAAAAAAAACAAGUUGAAGAGUAUUUGAUUUAGUUACUUAUCUUUCGGGUCUUGGCUCUUAAAUUUUUUUAAAAAAUAAUCUCACUCUUGCCAUGUAAUAAUAGCAUAUAUUUUUUAUAUAUGAAUGUUAACUUCAUUAAGGAAUGAAAGGGUUUGUAACUAAUUACAAAAUCGAAGCAUUUGGCAAAUGUUGUUCUAAAAUCAAAGCUUACAAAGUCUCAAUGCAAACCUUUUUUUAUAUUCCUCGAUGUAGAUGUAUGUAGCUGUUUCCUUGCAUCAACAACCUUCAAAUAUAAACAUUUGUUCAUCAUAACAAAAUAUAUAAUUCUUCAUUAUGAUUAGGUGGUCAAAAAUUGCAAAGCAUUUACCAGGAAGAACCGACAACGAGAUAAAGAAUUUUUGGAGGACCAAGAUCCAGAAAUACAUAAUCAAGAACGG
rnacentral:lncRNA from 1 species